rnacentral:lncRNA from 1 species
CCAGGGGCCAGUCAGGCAGAUAGACCCUCCUGCUCCAGGGGCCAGUCAGACAGAUAGACCCUCCUGCUCCAGGGGCCAGUCAGGCAGAUAGACCCUCCUGCUCCAGGGGCCAGUCAGGCAGAUAGACCCUCCUGCUCCAGGGGCCAGUCAGACAGAUAGACCCUCCUGCUCCAGGGGCCAGUCAGACAGAUAGACCCUCCUGCUCCAGGGGCCAGUCAGACAGAUAGACCCUCCUGCUCCAGGGGCCAGUCAGACUGUGCUAGACUGUUUGUCCUCCCUCCAGGGCUGUGCUAACACACUAACAGCAGUCUCCUCUUCACUAUGGAUCAGAUAAACACCUAGAGUGUGUCCCAAAUGGCACCCUUUUUCUUAUUUAGUGCACUACAUUUGGCCAGAGCCCUAUGGGGAAUGGGUCCAUUUGGGAGGCAUGCAUGGUAAUGCUCUGCAGUGUAGCAGGACUGCAGGGCUACAUGGCUACAGGGCUGGAUAUGGGAGUUAGGCAUGGUAAUGCUCUGCAGGGGCAGCAGGACUGCAGGGCUACAGGGCUACAGGGCUGAAUAUGGGAGUUAGGCAUGGUAAUGCUCUGCUGGGGCAACAGGGCUACAAGGCUACAGGGCUACAAGGCUACAGGGCUACAGGGCUACAGGGUUACAGGGUUACAGGGCUACAGGGCUACAGGGCUACAGGGAUGGAUAUGGGAGUUAGGCAUGGAAAUGCUCUGCUGGUGCAACAGGGCUACACGGCUACAGGACUGGAGGGCUACAGGGCUGGAGGGCUACAGGGCUGGAUAUGGGAGUUAGGCAUGGUAAUGCUCUGCUGGGGCAACAGGGCUACAAGACUGCAGGGCUACAGGGCAACAGGGCUACAGGGCAACAGGGCUACAGGGCUACAGGGCUGGAUAUGGGAGUUAGGCAUGGUAAUGCUCUGCUGGGGCAGCAGGGCUACAGGGCUACCGGGCUGGAGGGCUACAGGGCUGCAGGGCUACAGGGCUGCAGGGCUACCGGGCUGCAGGGCUACAGGGCUACAGGGCUACAGGGCUGGAGGGCUGGAGGGCUGGAGGGCUACAGGGCUGCAGGGCUACAGGGCUACAGGGCUGCAGGGCUACAGGGCUACAGGGCUGGAGGGCUACAGGGCUACAGGGCUGUGUUGUACUACAUGCAACUCAACAGGACCAUAACAGUUAACUAGCCUUUAUUAACUACCAUCAACAGGACCAUAACAGUUAACUAGCCUUUAUUAACUACCAUCAACAGGACCAUAACAGUUAACUAGCCUUUAUUAACUACCAUCAACAGGACCAUGACAACUAACUAGCCUUUAUUAACUACCAUCAACAGGACCAUGACAGUUAACUAGCCUUUAUUAAAUACCAUCAACAGGACCAUAACAGUUAACUAGCCUUUAUUAAAUACCAUCAACAGGACCAUGACAACUAACUAGCCUUUAUUAACUACUAGCCUGGGGAAGCACGGGGAGAUUACACACACACUGACACAACCUCUCGUCUCCUCUCCUCUCGUCUCCUCUCGUCUCUUCCCCUCUAUUCUUUCCUCUCCUCUCCUCUCCUCUCCUCUUGCCUUCUCCUCCUCUUCUCUUCUCGUCUUCUCCUCAUCCUCUCCUCAUCUUUUCUUUCUUGUCUCCUCUCCUCUCCUCUCCUCUCCUCUCCUCUCCUCUCCUCU